AGAAAGAAACAUUGAUGUUAGAGAGAAACAUGGAUGGAUUGCCUUCCGUACGCACCCCAACCAAGGAUGUACCCACAACUUGGGGUGCCCUGACCAGUGAGUGAUCUCUCGGUGCACAGGGUGACGCUCAACCAACUGAGCCACACCAGCCAGAGCUAAACCCCAUUAAA